rnacentral:lncRNA from 1 species
AACCAGCUCGGGUGCCGUUCCACACUGUGGAAGCUUUGUUCUUUCGUUCUUUGCAAUAAAUAUUGCUACUGCUCACUCUUUGGGUCCACGAUGCUUUUAUGAGCAGUAACACUCACCGCGAAGAUCUGCAGCUUCACUCCUGAGCCCAGCAAGACCACGAGCCCACCGGGAGGAACGAACAACUCCAGACGCGCUACCUUAAGAGCUGUAACACUCACCGCGAGGGUCUGCAGCUUCACUCCUGAGCCAGCGAGACCACGAACCCACCAGAAGGAAGAAACUCCGAACACAUCUGAACAUCAGAAGGGACAGACUCCAGACGUGCCACCUUAAGAGCUGUAACACUCACCGUGAGGGUCCGCGGCUUCAUUCUUGAAGUCAGUGAGACCAAGAAGCCACCAAUUCCGGACACACUAUUACUUACAAUAAUAUGUAAGACAGACAAAGCCCCUGCUCUUGUGGAGCUUACAUAAAUAUAUAAUUGACUGUCUAGGAGGGAAGAGGCUAUGAAGAGA